GACGAACGCUGGCGGCGUGCCUAAUACAUGCAAGUAGAAUGCAGUUGCGAACGGGUGAGUAACGCGUAGGUAACUGCCUGGUAGCGGGGGCUAACUAUUGGAAACGAUAGCUAAUACAGCAUACUACCAGAUGGACCUGCGUUGUAGUAGCUAGUUGGUGAGGUAACGGCUCACCAAGGAAACGAUUCAGAGCCGAGCGGUGAGGGUGAGCGAGCACACUGGGACUGGGACACGGGCCCGACUCCUACGGGAGGCAGCAGGAGGGAAUAUUCGGCAAUGGGGGGAAGCCUGACCGAGCAACGCCGGGUUGGUGGAGGAGGUUUUCGGGUCGUAAAGGUCUGUUGUUAAGGAAGCGGUACUUAACCAGAAAGGGACGGCUAACUACGUGCCAGCAGCCGCGGUAAUAC
rnacentral:rRNA from 1 species